UGAAAAAGGGCGGGAAGUCGUGAGGGGGCGGCGUUCCCGCCCUCAGCCUCGCCUCGGGGACGGCGGACAGAUAAUUGCUGAAAUGGAACUGAGAAAUAUCACGGCAGCAUUGGCAUGAAACUUGCAAAAGAAAAGGAUUGAUUUAUACAAUGUGUGCAGGUUCUUGCUGGAUUUGAACAGUUUCCAGAGAAGAAAUUGUCUGAUCUAGAUGUGGACUGGAAGGCAGCUCAGGAAGCUGAAGAAUGUUACCUCACUAGGUCACCCUCACUGCUGACACAUCAACCUGGAAAUCAAGGUUUUGAGGCAAAACAAGGAAAAAUGAAAAUAAAAGCCCAGUGAAGGAGAGAGGGGAGCGCUGAAGCAUUUGGGAAGAGGAAGCCCUUUGCUGACAGGCGGUGUUGGCCGGGCGCUGUAACGCAGCAUCGGACUGUGCCGGAAAGGUAAUCCGUGUGCCGGGCUCCAUCUCACCAGAGCUCUGCAAUGCCAUCAGGAGCACAGCAAUGAACAUCCACCUUCCUGCCCCUUAUCCCCUGCCACUGAGGCUUUCUGGGUGCAGGGCCUUAGCCUUUGAUCAGUUUAUUGAUCUUUCAGUGUAGGAUCUAACUUGCUGCAGGGGCACCAUAAAUACAGUAUUGCACGAGUCAUUUAUUUUUAUUGAUUAGUUGCCACUGCUGAAUUCUGGCUACUGAAUUAAUGGAUGCUGAAUAACUACUUUGAUUAAUGAAGCUAAAAUGGGCUUUAGCAUCCUGCGCUAACUACAGGCAAUUUUUUUCUAUUACAAAGCUAAUAAUUUCUUUUUUUAUGAUCCACAAUUAAUUUCAUUAUUUGACUUAUCCUUGGCACCUCACUGGAAGCCACAGAGUAAUGAAACAGGAGCUAUUUAUAAAUGUUCAUAAUUUACAGUAUCACACAAGAACAUCCUUACUCUAAGUGCAUACUUAAACACUAGAAUUAGUAGAUGAAUUUGACCAAAUGACUGCAUUUCAGAAGGUAAAAUUUUAGAAGAUUAAUUUGAGGUGCUGCCUCUUUUGCCACUGUUUUGGCACAGUCUAGAUGUGUCUUCACAAGGUAGGUGAAAACAGUCAUGAAUAUGUGUUCUGACACACAGUUCAGGUGUCAUAGUGGUGUUGUCUUCCAUAUUUCCUUUUUUACAAAAAAAGUUCCAUCUUUAUUUAUUUGGCAUUUGAUUUUUAUUGAAACAUAUUUUGGAAGAUAUGCAUUUUCCUUUCUUCCUUGGUAAGUAUAAGGUGGGCCCAUCUUUUCUUUUUCCUGAGCCUUCUCUACACAAUAAAAACCCCUAGUGGAGGUGAACAUUGCUCACCCUCCAUAGGUGGUCUAGAGCCUAAGCAUCAACAUUGUGAGAGUCACUAGGAAUGUGUGUAAGAAGCAACUCAUCACAAGGGAGAAUAAGACCGUUGUAAGGCAGAGAAUUCCCAGAUCUGUUUGGCAAACUACUUUGUUAGGGCUGCUUGGAAAAUGUGACGCACCGUGGUGACUUCCCAGUGUUGAGGAAUGCAAUCAGUGCAGGAGACCAGCGGAGACACAGCAGGAGAGGAAGACUCCAGACUGUCAAGUACUCAGACUGUGAGGGUGUAAAAAGCCAGGGAUUCCUUUGUUUGGGAUUCCUCAUUCCAGACACCAAACUGGAGCUGCUAUUUCUCUUAUUGCACCAUGAAUAAAGUAUUUUAAGGGUUGUAA